rnacentral:lncRNA from 1 species
GUCUGCUGAUUUAGCCAUGCACCAGUUUUAUUUACAUUGUAAACUAUGUGGGCCUCAUUUGCUAGGCGAGAUGCAUUGGGUCUGUGUUUGAUUAGCCAAUCUAAAUGUCCAAAAAUAAAUUCUGGUAAUUUAUUAUGGGGCAAAACAGAAUUGAAAGUUUUGCUGCGAUCGAUACCAUAUUGUGUAUGUUGGCCAUCUUCUA